AGAAUCAACGCUGGCGGCGUGCCUAACACAUGCAAGUCGAACGAGAAAGUGGAGCAAUCCAUUAGUAAAGUGGCGCACGGGUGAGUAACACGUGACUAACCUACCUUUUAGUGGGGGAUAACCUAGGGAAACCUGGGCUAAUACCGCAUAAUACCUACGGGUCAAAGCAGCAAUGCGCUGAAAGAGGGGGUCGCGGUCGAUUAGUUAGUUGGCAGGGUAAUGGCCUACCAAGACUGUGAUCGAUAUCCGGCCUGAGAGGGCGCACGGACACACUGGAACUGAAACACGGUCCAGACUCCUACGGGAGGCAGCAGUGGGAAUUUGCGCAAUGGGGGAAACCCUGACGCAGCAACGCCGCGUGGAGGAUGGAGCCCCUUGGGGUGUAAACUCCUUUCGAUCGGGAAGAUAAUGACGGUACCGAUAUAAGAAGCCCCGGCUAACUUCGCGCCAGCAGCCGC
rnacentral:rRNA from 1 species